UAUUUUUAGGCUAUAUAUUUUUUACAUCAUUAGACAAUAAGGUAAGUUUUGUUAUUUCUAGCGUUUAAAAACAGGCCUUAAAUUUAUUUGUCGUCCUAUUCAGUUUUCAAAAUUUCAAUACUGUUUAAGUCAAAUCCUUGUUCAUCGAAUCAAAGCAACUAACAUGAUGAUCAGCUCUAUUGCUAACCGUUUUGGGGGUUGACGUUAGACAUCAUGCAAUUGUACUACUUCCACUCUCACCUGAAUGACACUGUGACGUUGUGUACAUACAGAAUUGAAGGUCGGUUGUUGCUGACUACAGAAAGAUUCCUAUAUGGAGGCAUGUAAAAGCAAGGAAAGUGAAACUUCAGCUAGACCUUGAGUUCAGUUUACAAUACGAAGAUCCUGAUAUCAACAUCUGAUCUGAUCAACACCUGAUUUUCAUCUGAGCUGCAGAGUACCAACAUGUUACAAAUGAGAAUUUUCCCCACAAAUUCUUUGGACAACCGCACCACCACCUAUUUCAUUUGAUGACAAUUUUAAGGCAAACAGCAUCCAAAACUGACAAGACAGCAGAUACCCUGGCUAAUCUUUUGAAGGUUUAUAAUGAGCAAGAACUGCAUGAUGUCAGUUCAUGAUGGACUACUGUUAUCAGAGGUCUUUUGGUCUUGCUGCGUGAGCGUGACUGGGGAUUCUUUAGGACCACCCUGAUUAAUAAUCCUGAAGCGCUGACUGAAGAUGCUUUAUUGGCCCUGCAGUCACUGAGGGUCUCUGCUGUCCUGAAGAAUGAAUUGGACACCACCCACAGCACACUUCCAGACCUUUUUUGUCUUGUUUGGAUUAAUGUAUGCUCUUCACAUAAUAUAUAGUAAAGGACUUUGAACUUGUACAAAAAGUUUUGCUUGGCAUGGAUGAUAGAAAAUAGAAAGUCGAUUAGCAUAGAAUCCUUAAAGAAUGAGUUGAUGUAGAGCCUUUUUUUGUACUCAAUAAAGACUGUCACUGGGGUAGUAACUUCAAAACAUGUAUGUACCUUUAAUUGGUAAUG